rnacentral:rRNA from 1 species
CGCGGCCUAUCAGCUUGUUGGUGGGGUAAUGGCCUACCAAGGCGGCGACGGGUAGCCGGCCUGAGAGGGUGGACGGCCGCAUUGGGACUGAGAUACGGCCCAGACUCCUACGGGAGGCAGCAGUGGGGAAUAUUGCACAAUGGGCGCAAGCCUGAUGCAGCGACGCCGCGUGGGGGAUGACGGCCUUCGGGUUGUAAACUCCUUUCGCUAGGGACGAAGCUUUUUGUGACGGUACCUAGAUAAGAAGCACCGGCUAACUACGUGCCAGCAGCCGCGGUAAUACGUAGGGUGCGAGCGUUGUCCGGAAUUACUGGGCGUAAAGGGCUCGUAGGUGGUUUGUCGCGUCGUCUGUGAAAUUCCGGGGCUUAACUCCGGGCGUGCAGGCGAUACGGGCAUAACUUGAGUACUGUAGGGGUAACUGGAAUUCCUGGUGUAGCGGUGAAAUGCGCAGAUAUCAGGAGGAACACCGAUGGCGAAGGCAGGUUACUGGGCAGUUACUGACGCUGAGGAGCGAAAGCAUGGGUAGCGAACAGGAUUAGAUACCCUGGUAGUCCAUGCCGUAAACGGUGGGCGCUAGGUGUGAGGGUCUUUUCACGACUUUCGUGCCGUAGCUAACGCAUUAAGCGCCCCGCCUGGGGAGUACGG